rnacentral:sRNA from 1 species
AUGGCCGCCCUCAGUUGUGGUCUUCGACGGCUUCCGAGCAUUGGUGUCUGGCACGCGCUACCCCCUCUUGCUUUGGUUCCGCCAAGUCGAUGGACCAGGUAAAGCCUUAUCACUGGCGCUGCGCGCUUCUCCGUCUGGAACUUCCCACCUGCAUGUACCGGCUCCCCAACGUGCAAUGCUGGAGCCGCGGCCCAGCGCCCUGCGUUGGCCACGUGCGGAAGGCAGUGACUUUGAAGAUAGCUUCAAUCGCAAUGUGAAGAAGAAAGCAAAAGGACCACCGAAAACAACGCCGGUGGCAAACAUCCAAAGAAAGGUUCCGAGUGGCACAUCGUCAUAGCCGGAAACAGUCAGAGCCACCAGCCAAUGAUCUUUUCAAUGCUGUGAAAGCCACCAAAAGUGACAUGAAG